UACGUAGGGUGCGAGCGUUGUCCGGAAUUAUUGGGCGUAAAGAGCUUGUAGGCGGUUUGUCGCGUCUGCUGUGAAAAUCCGGGGCUCAACCCCGGGCCUGCAUUCGAUACGGGCAGACUAGAGUUCGGUAGGGGAGUCUGGAAUUCCUGGUGUAGCGGUGAAAUGCGCAGAUAUCAGGAGGAACACCGGUGGCGAAGGCGGGACUCUGGGCCGAUACUGACGCUGAGGAGCGAAAGCGUGGGGAGCGAACAGG
rnacentral:rRNA from 1 species